rnacentral:lncRNA from 1 species
CGUGAAUAUAAAUGAACUUGAGAAUUCUUCUAUCUAUGCAAAUUUCAUUGGGGGGGAUUAUUGGCUUUUAUACCUCCACUCUAACUCAUCUUUAUUUUCCAGAACAAGACGAAGUUGCAAAUACAGUUGCAUUCCUGCUGAGUGACUAUGCAUCAAUAAUAAAUGGUGCCUUAGUUCCAGUCGACGGUGGACACAGUAUUCAUAUGUCGCCUAACCCUGUUCAGUAGUUAACAAUUGAUAAUUUUUAAUUAACCAUGUAGCCUAGUCGGAUGUAUCUUGUAUGAUUACGCAUUAAAAGCAAACACAAAAUAUAAAAGACUUUAAUUAUUGUCGUUAUUCCUAUUUGAACGAACUAUUCGCCUGUCCUUUCCGACUUCUUCUAAUUAUCAUAUGCGUCUGAGUUCUUUAGGAC